rnacentral:rRNA from 1 species
AGUGAACGCUGGCGGUAGGCCUAACACAUGCAAGUCGAACGGCAGCACAGUAAGAGCUUGCUCUUACGGGUGGCGAGUGGCGGACGGGUGAGGAAUACAUCGGAAUCUACUUUUUCGGGGGGGAUAACGUAGGGAAACUUACGCUAAUACCGCAUACGACCUACGGGUGAAAGCAGGGGAGCUUCGGACCUUGCGCGAUUGAAUGAGCCGAUGUCGGAUUAGCUAGUUGGCGGGGUAAAGGCCCACCAAGGCGACGAUCCGUAGCUGGUCUGAGAGGAUGAUCAGCCACACUGGAACUGAGACACGGUCCAGACUCCUACGGGAGGCAGCAGUGGGGAAUCUUGGACAAUGGGCGCAAGCCUGAUCCAGCCAUACCGCGUGAGUGAAGAAGGCCUUCGGGUUGUAAAGCCCUUUUGUUGGGAAAGAACAGCAGCAGGUUAAUACCCCGCUGUUCUGACGGUACCCAAAGAAUAAGCACCGGCUAACUUCGUG